GGAGACCUCCAGAUGAUCGCCGGCCCCGUAAGGGGCGGGAGGAAAGUCCGGGCUCCGCAGGGCGGGAUGGUCCCUAACGGGGACCGGGGGCGACCCCAGGGAAAGUGCCACAGAGAGCAGACCGCCCGCCGAAGCCUUUGGCGAAGGCGGGUAAGGGUGAAAGGGUGAGGUAAGAGCUCACCAGUUCCGGCGGUGACGUCGGAAGCUAGGUAAACCCCAUCCGGAGCAAGGCCUAAUAGAGGAGCGUUUGAGGACGGCCCGUCCGAGGCUCCCGGGUUGGCUGCUUGAGGGCGUCGGCAACGGCGCUCCUAGAUGAAUGAUCAUCGCCCCGCCGCGGGUAACUUCGGCGGGGAACAGGACCCGGCUUACGGGCGUCUCCGGCC
rnacentral:RNase_P_RNA from 2 species